rnacentral:rRNA from 1 species
UACGUAGGGGGCAAGCGUUGUCCGGAAUUAUUGGGCGUAAAGAGCGCGUAGGCGGUCCGAUAAGUCGGCUGUGAAAACUCGAGGCUCAACCUCGAGAUGUCGGCGGAAACUGUCUGGCUAGAGUCCGGAAGAGGAGAGUGGAAUUCCUGGUGUAGCGGUGAAAUGCGCAGAUAUCAGGAAGAACACCUAUGGCGAAGGCAGCUCUCUGGGACGGUACUGACGCUGAGACGCGAAAAGCGUGGGGAGCGAACAGG